rnacentral:rRNA from 1 species
AACGAACGCUGGCGGCAUGCCUAACGCAUGCAAGUCGAACGAGACCUUCGGGUCUAGUGGCGCACGGGUGCGUAACGCGUGGGAACCUGCCCUUAGGUUCGGAAUAACUCCCGAAAGGGGUGCUAAUACCGGAUAAUGUCUUCGGACCAAAGAUUUAUCGCCUUUGGAUGGGCCCGCGUUGGAUUAGCUAGUUGGUAGGGUAAAAGCCUACCAAGGCGACGAUCCAUAGCUGGUCUGAGAGGAUGAUCAGCCACACUGGGACUGAGACACGGCCCAGACUCCUACGGGAGGCAGCAGUGGGGAAUAGUGGACAAUGGGCGAAAGCCUGAUCCAGCAAUGCCGCGUGAGUGAUGAAGGCCUUAGGGUUGUAAAGCUCUUUUACCCGGGAUGAUAAUGACAGUACCGGGAGAAUAAGCUCCGGCUAACUCCGUG